rnacentral:rRNA from 1 species
AACGCGAAGAACCUUACCUGGGCUCGAACGACUGGUGGUAAGAGGGAUGAAAGUCCCGAUGACCCGCAAGGGUGCCAGCCGAGGUGCUGCAUGGUUGUCGUCAGCUCGUGUCGUGAGAUGUUGGGUUAAGUCCCGCAACGAGCGCAACCCCUAUCCUGUGUUGCUACCCGCAAGGGAGGACUCUCAGGAGACUGCCGCGGAUAACGUGGAGGAAGGUGGGGCCGACGUCAAAUCAUCAUGGCCUUUAUGUCCAGGGCCACACACGUGCUACAAUGGCGCGUACAACGGGAUGCAAGACCGCAAGGUGGAGCCAAUCCCUCAAAGCGCGCCUCAGUUCAGAUUGUGGGCUGCAAUUCGCCCACAUGAAGGCGGAAUCGCUAGUAAUCGCAGAUCAGCAGGCUGCGGUGAAUACGUUCCCGGGCCUUGUA